rnacentral:snRNA from 1 species
GGUAGCGAUCGAUGCUGACGGGAAGCCCGUGCCUUUCAAAGGCUCCAAGCCGAACAUCCUCGCCUACCGUUUGGCACGCAUCGCACGCGAACUCGCGCUCGCUGUGCUCUUCACGAACAUCUUCCCGCACCUCCCGCCAGGCUCUGCAAUCG